AGCACCAACACAACGAACAAAAAUCCCAAGCUAUUUUAAAAAUUCAUGUUGGAAAAUGGUUAAAUUGUGUGAUGUUAUCCCUAACAGUUUGCUUUGCAGCACAUAUAAUUUUGAAAUAGUUAUUACAUAAAUUCUUAGGUUAGGUUUGACAUUUUGUUGACCGUCAAGUUUGGAGUUGAAAACUGCAUUAAAAAGUCUCCAAGACUUUUGGCGGAGGCAACGUCAUGUUCUUGUGCCCCAUUAGUCAAAUUGCAUAUUUGGUGACACGAUGCGGAAUCAGCCCAUAUUCAGGAAAAUUCCUGUGUGGUCAGGGUGCACUAGAUGACCAAUGGAUUCCUCAAGUCACUCGUAUGCCGGCGGAGCGUGUUGCCAAUAAUGACCGUAACCUAAGCUUCUGUAGCUGAGGUGCUCGUGUCCUGUCCUGUACCGAGGGGCCAAGAACAGUGGACUAUUUCAGUGGGGUUUCCACCGGAGUGCUACUUCUUCUUCUGGCCACACGCCAACUGGCCGUCUAUCGCGCGUUCAGAGACUAAGGACCAUUGGUUCCCAUACUUUUAGGUGAAUUCUUAUUUCUGCGAUUACGAAAUUUUCGGAUAAAAUAAUUAUAAUAAUAAUAAAUAAUAAUAAUAAUAA